rnacentral:misc_RNA from 1 species
AAGAUUCUGACCUUUGGGUCAACUCUUCGGCUGUGCGCCUAGGCUGCACGCUGAUGAACUUCACACACCUGUGCACAUUUCGGUUGCAACCUGCAUGCAGGCUUGCUUCCGCUUUAACAUACAACCACACGUCUUGAAUGUAACAAGCUAUAAAAUAA